UCCCCCGGUAAUCGGCUAAGGGACACUUUGUUGUUGGUGGUGUUCUUAUAUCAGUCAGGGGCAGAGCAGAUCACAAUCCUUUGCUCAUCUUAGCUUGAUGCCUGGCUUGGUAACCAAAGCUGCCUUAUGCCUAGGACUCAUAA
rfam:Mus musculus chromosome 10, GRC primary reference assembly.